AGAGUUUGAUCCUGGCUCAGAGCGAACGCUGGCGGCAGGCUUAACACAUGCAAGUCGAGCGGGCGUAGCAAUACGUCAGCGGCAGACGGGUGAGUAACGCGUGGGAACAUACCUUUUGGUUCGGAACAACACAGGGAAACUUGUGCUAAUACCGGAUAAGCCCUUACGGGGAAAGAUUUAUCGCCGAAAGAUUGGCCCGCGUCUGAUUAGCUAGUUGGUGAGGUAACGGCUCACCAAGGCGACGAUCAGUAGCUGGUCUGAGCGGAUGAUCAGCCACACUGGGACUGAGACACGGCCCAGACUCCUACGGGAGGCAGCAGUGGGGAAUCUUGCGCAAUGGGCGAAAGCCUGACGCAGCCAUGCCGCGUGAAUGAUGAAGGUCUUAGGAUUGUAAAAUUCUUUCACCGGGGAAGAUAAUGACGGUACCCGGAGAAGAAGCCCCGGCUAACUUCGUGCCAGCAGCCGCGGUAAUACGAAGGGGGCUAGCGUUGCUCGGAUUUACUGGGCGUAAAGGGCGCGUAGGCGGACAGUUUAGUCAGACGUGAAAUCCCCCGGCUUAACCAGGGAACUGCGUCUGAUACUGGAUGGCUUGAGUUUGGGAGAGGGAUGCGGAAUUCCAGGUGUAGCGGUGAAAUGCGUAGAUAUCUGGAGGAACACCGGUGGCGAAGGCGACAUCCUGGACCAACACUGACGCUGAGUGAGCGAAAGCCAGGGGAGCAAACGGGAUUAGAUACCCUCGUAGUCC
rnacentral:rRNA from 1 species